CGGACGGGAUAAGUGCUGAAAGCAUCUAAGCAUGAAGCCCCCCUCAAGAUGAGAUUUCCCAUUCCGCAAGGAAGUAAGAUCCCUGAAAGAUGAUCAGGUUGAUAGGUCUGAGGUGGAAGUGUGGCGACACAUGGAGCUGACAGAUACUAAUCGAUCGAGGACUUAACCUAAA
rnacentral:rRNA from 1 species